AUUGAACGCUGGCGGCAGGCCUAACACAUGCAAGUCGAGCGGAUGAAGGGAGCUUGCUCCUGGAUUCAGCGGCGGACGGGUGAGUAAUGCCUAGGAAUCUGCCUGGUAGUGGGGGAUAACGUCCGGAAACGGGCGCUAAUACCGCAUACGUCCUGAGGGAGAAAGUGGGGGAUCUUCGGACCUCACGCUAUCAGAUGAGCCUAGGUCGGAUUAGCUAGUUGGUGGGGUAAAGGCCUACCAAGGCGACGAUCCGUAACUGGUCUGAGAGGAUGAUCAGUCACACUGGAACUGAGACACGGUCCAGACUCCUACGGGAGGCAGCAGUGGGGAAUAUUGGACAAUGGGCGAAAGCCUGAUCCAGCCAUGCCGCGUGUGUGAAGAAGGUCUUCGGAUUGUAAAGCACUUUAAGUUGGGAGGAAGGGCAGUAAGUUAAUACCUUGCUGUUUUGACGCUACCAACAGAAUAAGCACCGGCUAACUUCGU
rnacentral:rRNA from 1 species